rnacentral:SRP_RNA from 1 species
GGUGGGUGCGGUGGCGCAUGCCUGUAGUCCCAGCUACUCGGGAGGCUGAAGUGGGAGGAUUGCUCGAGCCCAGGAGUUCUGGACUGUAGUGCACUAUGUCGAUCAGGUGUCCGCACUAAGUUCGGCAUCAAUAUGGUGACCUCCCGAGAGCGGGGGACCACCAGGUUGCCUAAGGAGGGGUGAACUGGCCCAGGUCGGAAACAGAACAGGUCAAAACUCCCGUGCUGAUCAGUAGUGGGAUUGCGCCUGUGAAUAACCACUGCACUCCAGCCUGGGCAACAUAGUGCAGACCCCGUCUCU